rnacentral:rRNA from 1 species
CAGUCGCCGCGGGAAUACAGAGGAUGCAAGCGUUAUCCGGAAUGAUUGGGCGUAAAGCGUCUGUAGGCGGCUUUUCAAGUCCGCCGUCAAAUCCCCGGGCUCAACCCUGGACAGGCAGUGGAAACUACCAAACUAGAGUAAGGUAGGGGCAGAGGGAAUUUCUGGUGGAGCGGUGGAAUGCGUUGAGAUCAGAAAGAACAAUAAUGGCGAAAGCACUUUGCUGGGCCGACAUUCACACUGAGAGACGAAAGCAAGGGGAGCAAAUUGGAUUAGAUACCCCCGUAGUCCCUGUCUCUUAUAC